UGAGGAAUUUUCCGCAAUGGGCGAAAGCCUGACGGAGCAAUGCCGCGUGGAGGACGAAAGCCUGUGGAUCGUAAACUCCUUUUCUCAGAGAAGAAGAUCUGACGGUAUCUGAGGAAUAAGCAUCGGCUAACUCCGUG
rnacentral:rRNA from 1 species